rnacentral:rRNA from 1 species
CCUACGGGAGGCAGCAGUGGGGAAUAUUGGGCAAUGGGCGCAGGCCUGACCCAGCAACGCCGCGUGAAGGAAGAAGGCUUUCGGGUUGUAAACUUCUUUUCUCAGGGACGAAGCAAGUGACGGUACCUGAGGAAUAAGCCACGGCUAACUACGUGCCAGCAGCCGCGGUAAUACGUAGGUGGCAAGCGUUAUCCGGAUUUACUGGGUGUAAAGGGCGUGUAGGCGGGGACACAAGUCAGAUGUGAAAACAAU